GCAGGAAGCCUGUGAUGUCUUAGCCGUGGUGUCUGAACCUGGCUGAAGGACUCUUCUGAAGACUCAUUCCUAGGCUCUGAGGCUUCCAGGGGA
ensembl:snoRNA